rnacentral:tRNA from 1 species
GCCGCGAUCGCAUAACCUGGUAUUGCACAGGACUGGAAAUCCUGGCUCGCAAGGGCAUCCCGGUUCAAAUCCGGGUCGCGGCG